rnacentral:rRNA from 1 species
UACGGAGGGUGCAAGCGUUAUCCGGAUUCACUGGGUUUAAAGGGUGCGUAGGCGGGCAGGUAAGUCCGUGGUGAAAUCUCCAAGCUUAACUUGGAAACUGCCAUUGAUACUAUCAGUCUUGAAUAUUGUGGAGGUCAGCGGAAUAUGUCAUGUAGCGGUGAAAUGCUUAGAGAUGACAUAGAACACCAAUUGCGAAGGCAGCUGACUACGCAUAUAUUGACACUGAGGCACGAAAGCGUGGGGAUCAAACAGG